rnacentral:lncRNA from 1 species
GGUUUAAAAUAAAUGAGAUUUCUAAAAAAGGAAAGCACACAAUCUUUGUGGACUGACGAAAAUAGUAACAAACACACAUUUUUUGUGGACGGAUGGAGUACUUUAAUUUAAAAUUAAAAAUUGAAAAAAAAUGAAAAAAUAAAAAAGAAAAGUUAAAAAAGAAUGAAAAUUGGAAUUGGUCUCGUUUUCUCCGCCUCUCUCAUCGUCUCACGCUCUGACUUUCAACUCUCUCUCGCCUUCGGCCCCUUUAUCGUCCGCUACGUUGAUCGCCAUGGCUCGUUACCUCAGCAGCAACAGUGUGCGUCACCGAGCCUUCCACCCUACACAG